AUUCAUCAGCGACUAACCCGC
rnacentral:miRNA from 1 species